rnacentral:rRNA from 1 species
GGCCUCAAAUCAGACAAGAGUACCCGCUGAACUUAAGCAUAUCAAUAAGAGGAGGAAAAGAAACUAACAAGGAUUCCCCUAGUAACGGCGAGUGAAGCGGGAACAGCUCAAAUUUUAAAUCUGGCUGCUUUGUAGUCCGAGUUGUAAUUUGAAGGAGUCUUGCCGCUGGCAAAACGAUGGCACAAGUCCUCUGGAACGGGGCAUCGUAGAGGGUGGGAAUCCCGUCUCCGGUCAUCACGCGCUGGCAUACGGCAGGCAUCCGAAGAGUCGAGUUGUUUGGGAUUGCAGCUCCAAAUGGGUGGUAAACUCCAUCUAAGGCUAAAUAUUGGCGAGAGACCGAUAGCGAACAAGUACCGUGAGGGAAAGAUGAAAAGAACUUUGAAAAGAGAGUAAAACAGUACGUGAAAUUGUUGAAAGGGAAACGAUUGAAG